rnacentral:lncRNA from 1 species
GGUGUCAGCAAAUAGCAAGUGAUACGAGCACAUCUUUUUGAUCAGCUUGCCAUUGAGACGGUGUCGACUCUCCAGAGGCCAAACCGCGUGGAUUUUCCUUGGGUCACAACUUGCUGCAACCAUUGUUCUUUUUACCGAAUGUUGAUCAUUUGUGCCAAUUCGAACUGAGUUAUAUAGUUGAAUGUGGUGUUGGGCACAUGAGGUGUCCUCCCAUUAUGCUAUGUCAUGAGAGUCAAACAUAUGAUGAUUCAUACAAUUUUGAGCAGAUUCAUGCCGAGUUAUAUUGUUACAUGAGGUCCUCCCAUUAUGCUAUGUUCAAUCGACUGGUGAUAAUAAGAUAAAAAAAUAUGAGUGCAGUGAAAACUGUGCCGGUUCUGAGAACAGAAUGGAAACGAAGCGCGAAAAUGGGAAUCCACAAAAUGGAAGGGAAAAAUGGAAGUGGCAACUUAAGUUUCUUGUGGGAAACAGGACAGUGUUUUCAGCAGAAUUUUUGUGCAAACAGAAUUUCCGUAUUGCAUUCUUGGAGUGUAACUAGACAAUUUGUUGUUUUGUCUAUGUCCCAAUGGAGAUUUUUAGAGCUAAAAACCUCGCUUU